UACAGAGGGGGCAAGCGUUGUUCGGAAUUACUGGGCGUAAAGGGCGCGUAGGCGGCCUGUUAAGUCGAACGUGAAAUCCCCGGGCUCAACCCGGGAACUGCGUCCGAUACUGGCAGGCUUGAAUCCGGGAGAGGGAUGCGGAAUUCCAGGUGUAGCGGAUGAAAUGCGUAGAUAUCUGGAGGAACACCGGUGGCGAAGGCGGCAUCCUGGACCGGCAUUGACGA
rnacentral:rRNA from 1 species